rnacentral:lncRNA from 1 species
GUGCUCCAGCCUGGCACUCCACUGAUGAGUGAACACAGCAGGCACUGUGCAGAUCGGGUAGCACUGGGUGAGAUGGUGUUUUUGUGGUGAGCUAAGGAGAGACCAUGUGUCUUUAGUGUCAUGUUCCAGCUUUAGGAGCUCAUUAUACAAGUGCUUAAGUUGGUAUUUAAAGAAGGAACCAGAAGGUUCCACUUCUUGCAGCCAGGUAACAGGUGCCCGAGGCCAGGCCUUUCCUCUUGUUUCGCAGGGUAGUGUCAGUGCCUCUUCCAAAGAGUGCUGCUCAGAGGGACAGACGCAUCCUGACAGACUUGCAAGGAACCAGAAACUGGCUCUAGACUUGAUGGUUUAUGACUGUAAUCUCGGCAUUAGAGAGACUGAGUCAGAGGGUUGCUGUGGGCUUGAGGCCAGUCACCAGUCUGGGCUACAUAGUGAAUCCCUGUAUUCCCAAAAAUAAAAAAGGAAGAAGGAAGGAAAGAAAAGGAACAUUAUCUAAUAUGUAGCUGCUGGUGUGACUUCAGGCGGAUUCUUUGAGCUUGUUAAAGGGCUUAGAACAGAUUAUCCUGGCCUUGAGUUAGGUGGGCCAUUUAUCCAGCAGUCCCAGGAGGACUGACAGAGUGACAGCUCACACAGACCGUGGCUAUGCUGAGGGACUGCCUGGGCAGGCUCAGAAUGUCAUAGGAGUCGCCUGGGGCUUUCUCAGUGCAGCACCUUGAUGGCCUGGCCUCCCCGGCAGCUCUAGCCUUCCAGCUUCUGCAGUCGUGGAUCGUGGGAAGACCUUGAACUCAGGAUUCCCCUGCCUCUGCCUUCCAGGAGCUGAGGUUUAGUUGCUUUUGAAGAAUCUGAGAGCAAGUGUUCAGUACCUGGGAGAGCACUAAGCCCGAUAGGUUCUUAAUUAUAAAAUGGUUAGAUUAUUUUCUCCCAAACCAAUAGCUUAUAAGUCAGUAUAGCAGUUUCCCUCAUUUUCUCUUUUUUUCUCUUUUUAAAUUUAAGAAAAUACUUCCUUAUGUUUCAGAUUUUCAAUUUCUUUUUCAAUAUUUUUGUAACUUUUAUGUCUAGUAAGUAACGAGCUGUUUUCCUGUCUGACUUGGUAAAACAGUGGGGUGACCUCUUCUGGGGGGUGGGGGUGGGGCUGGGGGUGGGGGCUUCACCCAGCACCUUGCAUCUUGGCCAAAUUUCUAGGACUACAAAACCACUACCUGGGGCUGGUGAGUUGGCUCAGUGGGUAAGAGCACCCUACCGCUCUUCCGAAGGUCCGGAGUUCAAAUCCCAGCAACCACAUGGUGGCUCAUAACCAUCUGUAACGAGAUCUGAUCUGGAGUGUCUGAAGACAGCUACAGUGUACUUACAUAUAAUAAAUAAAUAAAUCUUUAAAAAAAAAACAAAAAACACUACCUGGAAGGACGCCAUCAAAGUUUUACUUACCUAUGUUAGUCAAAGUAUAUAAUGACUUGAGAGGGAAGUGGGUUGACGGCCAGCCUGGUCUACAUGAGCCCAGCUGGGCUACACAGUGAGACCCUGUCUCAAACAAAUGAACAAACAACAGCAACAACAACAAAAAAAUGUAAUAAAUUCUUUACAUCGAGUGGUUUUUUGGGGGGGUUGGCUGGGAUGGGCAUAUAUAGCCCUGGCUGUCCUGGAAUUCACAGUGUAGACCAGGCUGGCCUUGAACUGACAGAUCCAUCUGCCUCUGCCUCCCAAGUGCCAAGAUUAAAAGGCCUGCUGUACUAGCUAGGCACCUAGGUUUGGUUUUGUUUUGUUUUCGAGACAGGGUUUCUCUGUGUAGCCCUGGCUGUCCUGGAACUCACUUUGUAGACCAGGCUGGCCUCGAACUCAGAAAUCCACCUACCAUGGGCUGGCGAGAUGGCUCAGUGGUUUUAAGAGCGCUGACUGCUCUUCCAAAGGUCCUGAGUUCAAAUCCCAGCUACCACAUGGUGGUUUACAACCAUCCAUAAUGAAAUCUGACUCUCUCUUCUGGGGUGUCUGAAGACAGCGACAGUGUACUUACAUAUAAUAAGUAAAUC